rnacentral:lncRNA from 1 species
GACUACUGAAUGCCUUAAAAAGUUAUUCAACAUGUACAACAGAUGCUGGAAGGGGCAACCACCAUGUUCAUCGUUGACAUGUCACUUGAGAGUUAAUUCGAAAUGUCACUUGCAUCACGAUUCACGAUCUUGGAAAGAAAGAAAAAAGUAUUGCUAACAUCCACGAACAGAAUCAGGUUAUCAAGAAUUGUUCAUGUGAUUGCAGUAGUAAACUAACUUAUUUAACUUGGAAACUUAGGUUUACAAUCUAUAUUCAUCCAACUCCAUAAGUUACAGUCCAGUACAGGACGUUAAUCACAUGUUAUAAGGUGACUACAACCUAUUGGAAUGCUUGAUGAAAUGUCUUUAUGGCAAGAUUUUCCAUGGGAGUUCAAUCGAAUUCCCUUCAUCUAAUGAUUACAACAACCACAACAAAAACACACUAGUGGGGAUGAUAGGGCUACGCAAACUUUAUUCCUGUCUUGUGUGAAGUUGAAAGGAUGCUUCUAUUGACCCUUGAC